UGCGCGAGUCAUUGGGACUAUAGCAAAGCCUAAAGGCGUAAUGAAAGUGAAGGCGUUUCCUUGUGAAGCGCCUGGGGAAGAUGCGUCGCGCCACGGCGCGGCGUCGCACUCCCGGGGCGUCUCGCGCUCAUUGCGAGCUGAGGCGCACCUAGAGCGUACACGCUGGGACCCGAAAGAUGGUGAACUAUGCCUGGUCAGGACGAAGUCAGGGGAAACCCUGAUGGAGGUCCGUAGCGAUUCUGACGUGCAAAUCGAUCGUCGGAACUGGGGAUAGGGGCGAAAGACUAAUCGAACCAUCUAGUAGCUGGUUCCCUCCGAAGUUUCCCUCAGGAUAGCUGGCGCUCAUUAAGCGAGUUUCAUCCGGUAAAGCGAAUGAUUAGAGGCAUUGGGGUCGAAACGGCCUCAACCUAUUCUCAAACUUUAAAUGGGUGAGAUCUCCGGCUUGCUUGAAUAGUGAAGCCGCGAGAUUGAAUCAGAGUGCCAAGUGGGCCACUUUUGGUAAGCAGAACUGGCGCUGUGGGAUGAACCAAACGCAGAGUUAAAGCGCCUAAAUCGACGCUUAUGGGAUACCAUGAAAGGCG
rnacentral:rRNA from 1 species